GUGUCAGCCGCCGCGGUAAUACGGGGGGUGCGAGCGUUAAUCGGAAUGACUGGGCGUAAAGCGUGCGUAGGCGGUGUAAUCAGUCAGCCGUGAAAGCCCCGGGCUUAACCUGGGAAUGGCGGUUGAGACGGUUAAACUAGAGUGGGCUAGAGGACUGUGGAACUCCCGGUGUAGCGGUGAAAUGCGUAGAGAUCGGGAAGAACACCGAUGGCGAAGGCAGCAGUCUGGGGCCACACUGACGCUGAGGCACGACGGCGUGGGGAGCAAACAGGAUUAGAAACCCCUGUAGUCC
rnacentral:rRNA from 1 species